rnacentral:rRNA from 1 species
AGAGUUUGAUCAUGGCUCAGGAUGAACGCUAGCUACAGGCUUAACACAUGCAAGUCGAGGGGAAACGGACAUCGAAAGCUUGCUUUUGAUGGGCGUCGACCGGCGCACGGGUGAGUAACGCGUAUCCAACCUGCCCACCACUUGGGGAUAACCUUGCGAAAGUAAGACUAAUACCCAAUGACGUCUCUAGAAGACAUCUGAAGGAGAUUAAAGAUUUAUCGGUGAUGGAUGGGGAUGCGUCUGGAUUAGCUUGUUGGCGGGGUAACGGCCACCAAGGCGACGAUCAGUAGGGGUUCUGAGAGGAAGGUCCCCCANAUUGGAACUGAGACACGGUCCAAACUCCUACGGGAGGCA